rnacentral:rRNA from 1 species
UACGUAGGGGGCUAGCGUUGUCCGGAAUCAUUGGGCGUAAAGCGCGCGUAGGCGGCCAGAUAAGUCCGGUGUGAAAGUCAAAGGCUCAACCUUUGAAUGCCGCUGGAAACUGUCUGGCUUGAGUCCGGAAGGGGCGAGUGGAAUUCCUGGUGUAGCGGUGAAAUGCGCAGAUAUCAGGAGGAACACCGGUGGCGAAGGCGGAUCUCUGGGCCUUACCUGACGCUCAGGCGCGAAAGCUAGGGGAGCGAACAGG